UAUUAUAUGCUGGCGCAGUAUUCUAGUCAGUUUUCGCCGACCCGAAGGCGGGGGUAAAAUAUCGCCAAAGGGCAUAUCGAUGAAGUUUCUGGUGAUGGCUUUGGUUGCCCAAACCGGGGCUGUUGCUGGGAGUUAAGACUUUCGGGCGCUUCGUAACGGCAUACGAAACUCGACCCGUUUGUCGCGGAGACCCGUCUCGGUUGGACCUGCGUCCUACUGAACGGGGUGAAACCUGCUAUGCGGUGAUAAUAAGCUGUGUGCAGAGUAGCCUGCCUUGAGUGGAUUUUCAGGGACAGAGGAACUACGGGGUUGUCGGUUGGCCAACCGAUUCUCCCGAUUGCCUCUCGAAAUGUUGUCUGCAAAAAAGGAUUAGGGCGGACGGAAACUGCAAAGGAAAUCUUCUAGACUGUUCUCGUAGGCAGCUUGGGGAUUAUAGUGUGCUCUAAGUGGCGAUUCGGUUAUGCAUCGGGAAACCGUGCAUCUUGCGGAGUAAUCGGAAACGUCUCGGUCGGCGACGACGAGUUUCCGCAGGGGGAAAGCCUACCGAACCUGAAGGCGCAAGGUUUACUCAGGCUGUCGCCAGCAU
rnacentral:sRNA from 1 species